AUCUGCUCGGACGCUGGAGCCGAGAUCAGCCCCGAGAGCUUGGCCGCCCCCGUGAGCGCGAAGAAGCCACCCAGCAGGACGCGCAGAGCGGCGAGCCCGAGCGCCAUGGCCGCGCAGUAUGACUGAGUAGAGUCAGACUCCAGGAGUAACCAUCUACACGUGCCUCGCAGAAGACCGGGGUUUCCUUCCAGCCUGAGCCACCCUAGCUUUGGGAUCUGAGCUGCCACCUAACCUCUUCGGGCCUCACUAUUUGCAUCUGUAAAAGCGAUUAAGCCUGUUCUCUUUAGGAACAGGCCUAGCACAAUGUCUGGCACCUAAUUUCAUUGAAGAUUUUUAAGCAGUGGAGUGACACAAUCUGAUUUAAAAUCAUUCUGCUAACAAUGUGGAGAAAAAAAAUGCAAAGGGCAAGAAUGCAAGCAGGAAGACAGGUGGGCCAGAGUCUACUCCAGAAUUUCUCAAAGAAUGGUCCAAGAAAACUGGGCAUCAAUAUCACCUGGGAUGCCUGAGAAAGGUAAGG